ACGGGUGAGUAACACGUGAGUAAUCUGCCCUUGGCUUUGGGAUAACUACCGGAAACGGUGGCUAAUACCGGAUACGACCGAUCCCUGCAUGGGCUCUGGGUGGAAAGUUUUUUCGGCCAGGGAUGUGCUCGCGGCCUAUCAGCUUGUUGGUGGGGUAAUGGCCUACCAAGGCUUCGACGGGUAGCCGGCCUGAGAGGGUGACCGGCCACACUGGGACUGAGACACGGCCCAGACUCCUACGGGAGGCAGCAGUGGGGAAUAUUGGACAAUGGGCGGAAGCCUGAUCCAGCAACGCCGCGUGAGGGAUGACGGCCUUCGGGUUGUAAACCUCUUUCAGUACCGACGAAGCGCCGAUGAUGGUGGUGACGGUAGGUACAGAAGAAGCACCGGCCAACUACGUGCCAGCAGCCGCGGUAAUACGUAGGGUGCGAGCGUUGUCCGGAAUUAUUGGGCGUAAAGGGCUCGUAGGCGGUUUGUCGCGUCGGGAGUGAAAACCCAGGGCUUAACUCUGGGCUUGCUUUCGAUACGGGCAGACUAGAGGUAUGCAGGGGAGAACGGAAUUCCUGGUGUAGCGGUGAAAUGCGCAGA
rnacentral:rRNA from 1 species